CCAUACCACCCUCACCCUGAACACGCCCGAUAUCGUCUGAUCUCGGAAGCUAAGCAGGGUCAGGCCUGAUUAGUACUUGGAUAGCAGAAAGAGGGGGAAAGGCCUCUGGGAAUAGUAGUGU
ensembl:rRNA 5S_rRNA 5S ribosomal RNA